CUACGGGCUGCUCCAGUGAGGAAUCUUGGACAAUGGACGAAAGUCUGAUCCAGCGACACCGCGUGGGGGAUGAAUGCCUUCGGGUUGUAAACCCCUUUUCUGGGGAAAGAAUAAAGGCGGGAGGAAAUGCCCGUCUGAUGACGGUACUCCAGGAAUAAGCAUCGGCAAACUUCGUGCCAGCAGCCGCGGUAAGACGAAGGAUGCAAGCGUUAUCCGGAGUUACUGGGCGUAAAGGGCGUGUAGGCGGUUGAGUAAGUCACCUGUGAAAGCCCUCGGCGCAACCGAGGAACGUCGGGUGAUACUGCUUGGCUUGGGUGUAGGAGAGGAGAGUGGAACUCACAGAGUAGCGGUGGAAUGCGUAGAUACUGUGAGGUACCCCGAUGGCGAAGGCAACUCUCUGGCCUACUACCGACGCUGAAGCGCGAAAGCGUGGGGAGCAAAGGGGAUUAGAUACCCGUGUAGUC
rnacentral:rRNA from 1 species